GCAGGGCUCCGGGCGGCCGUGACCCUGCUGGAGUCCGGGGGGGACCUCCAGCCCCCCGGGGGGUCCCUGCGCCUCCUCUGCCGAGGCUCCGGGUUCAGUUUCGGCAGUUUUGGGAUGGGCUGGUAUCGCCAGAGACCCGGGCAGGGGCUGGAAUACGUCGCAAGUAUCAACAGCAAUGGUGCUUACACCGGCUACGCGCCCUCGGUCAAGGGCCGGUUCACGAUCUCCAGGGACAACGGGCAGAGCUCGGUGACGCUGACCAUGAACAACCUCAAGGACGAGGAUUCCGGAUCCUAUUUCUGCGCCAAACCCCAGCCCUGA